rnacentral:rRNA from 1 species
CACGUAGGGCGCAAGCGUUGUCCGGAAUUAUUGGGCGUAAAGAGCUCGUAGGCGGUCUGUUGCGUCCGCUGUGAAAACUCGGGGCUUAACCCCGAGCCUGCAGUGGAUACGGGCAGACUAGAGGUAGGUAGGGGAGAAUGGAAUUCCCGGUGUAGCGGUGAAAUGCGCAGAUAUCGAGAAGAACACUUAGGGCGUAGGCAAGACUCUGGACAAAUGCUGACGCUCAUGCACGAAGGCUAGGGUAGCGAACGGG